AGUACUACCGCCGCCCCAGGCUGAUGAGGAGGAGCCAGGCCCCAGCAACACCACCCCCACCUUCCCGUCCGCACCCACCACAGGGCCAGGAGGAGGAGGAGGCGCCGCCAGGUCCCAUCUCAUCCGUACCACAUGCCCCAUCCACCCAGGAGCCAGAACUGGACAGCUCCGGGAAUGGUAUGUUCAUAUCUCCCCAUGUAAUCUGGCUAUUGCUAUCUGCACCUAUGCAAAACAUCCAUAUUCCAAAUGUAUGUUCAUAUCUCCC